UACGUAGGGUGCAAGCGUUAAUCGGAAUUACUGGGCGUAAAGCGUGCGCAGGCGGUUAUGUAAGACAGGUGUGAAAUCCCCGGGCUUAACCUGGGAACUGCAUUUGUGACUGCAUAGCUAGAGUACGGGUAGAGGGGGAUGGAAUUCCGCGUGUAGCAGUGAAAUGCGUAGAUAUGCGGAGGAACACCGAUGGCGAAGGCAAUCCCCUGGACCUGUACUGACGCUCAUGCACGAAAGCGUGGGGAGCAAACGAGG
rnacentral:rRNA from 1 species